CGCAUCUGUGCAUGCAGCAUAUCAAUAAGCGGAGGAAAAGAAACUAACAAGGAUUCCCUUAGUAACGGCGAGUGAAGCGGGAAGAGCUCAAAUUUGUAAUCUUCAAGGUUUUACCUUGACGAAUUGUAGUUUAAAGAAGUGUUUUCUGCUGAAGUUUUGGUAAAAGUUCUUUGGAAUAGGACAUCAUAGAGGGUGAGAAUCCCGUAUUUGACCAUUAUUUUCAGCUUUGUGAUACACUUUUAAAGAGUCGGAUUGUUUGGGAAUGCAGUCCAAAAUGGGUGGUAAAUUUCAUCUAAAGCUAAAUAUUGGCGAGAGACCGAUAGCGAACAAGUACCGUGAGGGAAAGAUGAAAAGAACUUUGAAAAGAGAGUUAAACAGUACGUGAAAUUGUCAAAAGGGAAGCGUUUGACACCAGUGUUGUUUUCUCGAAAAUCAAUUAAAAAUGGCUCGAUUUUGUAUUGCUGAGACCUUAAAAGCUCACUGUACAUUUUUCGUGUCUUUUUUAAUGCACUUUUCGUUUAACAAGUCAACAUCAGUUUCUUUUGUUGUAAAAGGGUCAUUGGAAGGUGGCUUUCUUUUCGGAGAAAGUGUUUAUAGCCUUUGGCCUCUGCAAUCGGAGAGACUGAGGUCUGCAGCGUAGACUCUUCGGGGUUAGAUACAUUUGUGCUAAGUUAUAGCUUUUUAUAGACAACUUGUUGACUAUAAUUAGUCUUGUAGCUUACUCGCUUAUGCUAUUUUACCUACGCUUAGGAUGUUGAUAGUCACAGCGUGUAC
rnacentral:rRNA from 1 species